GAUGAACGCUGGCGGCGUGCCUAAUACAUGCAAGUCGAGCGAACGGACGAGGAGCUUGCUCUUCUGAUGUUAGCGGCGGACGGGUGAGUAACACGUGGAUAACCUACCUAUAAGACUGGGAUAACUUCGGGAAACCGGAGCUAAUACCGGAUAAUAUUUUGAACCGCAUGGUUCAAUAGUGAAAGACGGUUUUGCUGUCACUUAUAGAUGGAUCCGCGCUGCAUUAGCUAGUUGGUAAGGUAACGGCUUACCAAGGCAACGAUGCGUAGCCGACCUGAGAGGGUGAUCGGCCACACUGGAACUGAGACACGGUCCAGACUCCUACGGGAGGCAGCAGUAGGGAAUCUUCCGCAAUGGGCGAAAGCUUGACGGAGCAACGCCGCGUGAGUGAUGAAGGUCUUCGGAUCGUAAAACUCUGUUAUUAGGGAAGAACAAAUGUGUAAGUAACUAUGCACAUCUUGACGGUACCUAAUCAGAAAGCCACGGCUAACUACGUG
rnacentral:rRNA from 1 species